AUUGAACGCUGGCGGAAGGAUAAACACAUGCAAGUCGGACGAGUGGCGGACGGGUGAGUAAUGUCUGGGAAACUGCCCGAUGGAGGGGGAUAACUACUGGAAACGGUAGCUAAUACCGCAUACCAUCGGAUGUGCCCAGAUGGGAUUAGCUAGUGGGGGGGGUAACGGCUAACCGAGGCGACGAUCCCUAGCUGGUCUGAGAGGAUGACCAGCCACACUGGAACUGCGACACGGUCCAGACUCCUACGGGAGGCAGCAGUGGGGAAUAUUGCACAAUGGGCGCAAGCCUGAUGCAGCCAUGCCGCGUGUAUGAAGAAGGCCUUCGGGUUGUAAAGUACUUUCAGCGAGGAGGCGUUACUCGCAGAAGACGCACCGGCUAACUCCGUGCCAGCAGCCGCGGUAAUUC
rnacentral:rRNA from 1 species